UAAUUGAAGAGUUUGAUCAUGGCUCAGAUUGAACGCUGGCGGCAGGCUUAACACAUGCAAGUCGAGCGGUAGCACAGG
rnacentral:rRNA from 1 species